rnacentral:lncRNA from 1 species
GGCUGAGUUGCAAAGGGUAGCAGACACUGCAAAUAGUGACUUUGACCACAAACCAAAGGACAGUCUUUAUGAGCUCAGCUAGGGCAGGACAGCUUGUCUCACAAUGGUCUUUCCAGCCACACCCGCUCAUUCAGAGGAGAAUCAGAUAGUUUUUGCAGGGUCAUCUUUGAAUAAGAAGAAUGCAACAUCUUUGGGAGUAAGGAGGGCUCAUUCUUUGUACUUUUUUUAUACUCUUCAAUCCACUGACACUGGCCUCCUUGCUGUUCCAUGAAUGAGAUGCUCCAUCUUCUCAGAGUAUGUAUGGGUCUAAAUCUGAAGAUGGGGACAAAAAUUUGGAAUAGAAGGAGGGAGUGAAGAAGAUGAUUCUUACAGAAGCCCACUGGAAAUGAAAAAACUCAGUGAGUCAACUAGUUAUUUUGGGUAGGUAAUCCCUAGUGACUAGUUUAAAUUUUCCAGUGAAAUAAUGGACCUAACCAGUUCCUUUGGC